GUCCACGCCGUAAACGAUGGAUACUAGCUGUUGGGAGCGAUCUCAGUGGCUAAGCGAAAGUGAUAAGUAUCCCACCUGGGGAGUACGUUCGCAAGAAUGAAACUCAAAGGAAUUGACGGGGGCCCGCACAAGCGGUGGAGCAUGUGGUUUAAUUCGAUGAUACGCGAGGAACCUUACCAAGGCUUAAAUGUAGAUUGACCGGUUUGGAAACAGACUUUUCGCAAGACAAUUUACAAGGUGCUGCAUGGUUGUCGU
rnacentral:rRNA from 1 species